rnacentral:tRNA from 1 species
GGGCCCAUAGCUCAGUGGUUAGAGCCGCCGGCUCAUAACCGGAAGGUCCUUGGUUCAAACCCAAGUGGGCCCA